GCCGGAAUAGCUCAGUUGGGAGAGCGUUAGACUGAAGAUCUAAAGGUCCCUGGUUCGAUCGGUUUCGGCA